GUCCACCCUUCACCUCCCCUCCUCCCCAACCACCCUCCCCACCUUGCCAGUUUUCCCUGAAACUGACACACUGGUUUGGGUGAAUGAUAGAUACAUUUAAAGAGGCCUCAGAAGCAUGGGGCUGUAGGCUGGGAGACUGGGUAUUUUUCCAUUAUUGUAAUAAGUCCGUUUCGCUCCCCUGUUUAGGCAGGAUAGAUGGCUGUGAUUCCUGCGGACAAAGACGAAGAUCGAUGCUGAAUUAAGGCUGCAGCAAGCCCUUUUGUCAUCCUGCAGGCAGGAGGAGUCCGGGAAGCUCACUUAUCUGGAUAAGAAGACCGUUUGAGAUUAGAAGCAUGAUGACGUUUAAGUAGAAGAAGCACUCGAGAGGAUGAUCAGCUGUCCCUCAGAGUAGCCUUCUCAGCAGCUACAUCCAUAGUCUCGGGGACAUGGGCAAAUGAUGCAGAGCCCGCCGGCUUCAUCAGUUCUGCCUGGACCUCUCAUCUCCCUGCAGCUGCGUUUCCGUGUGGCAUGGAGGUUGGGCUCCAGGGAAGGAAGGCUCCUGCAUCUCUGAGAACAUCAUUACCUCCACUCACCUCCACUCGCAUACUCCUUCCAGUGCUAACCUCGUUUGUUUGGAUGAUGACAUCAUCUCUGUCAAUGGGAAGCAGCUCUGUGCCUCAGUUUAUCACUCACACAAUGAAAGGGCUACGGCAUAGCACCC